rnacentral:ncRNA from 1 species
UUAAAGUCAAUGACGAGAAAGAGUAAGAUUUGAUUACUGUUCCCCAGAGAAUCGGCGCUUGGUGAAAUCCGAUGUUCAGUGCUUAUCCGAAAAUCAUCUCCGAGAUGCAAAGCUGAAAUGUAAGCUUUGACGGGCCGUCCGCCGUUACAAGGGAACACGUAUGAUUGUACGUUGACUGAGUGCCGCAAGCUUUUCAUAAGCUGUGGAAUUAGGGUGGUAACGCGAGCGAUAACUCGUCCCUUCU